rnacentral:rRNA from 1 species
AGAGUUUGAUCCUGGCUCAGGACGAACGCUGGCGGCGUGCCUAACACAUGCAAGUCGAGCGGAGAUACAAAGUAGUUUACUACGAUGUAUCUUAGCGGCGGACGGGUGAGUAACGCGUGGGCAACCUGCCUUACAGAGGGGGAUAACAGUGCGAAAGUACUGCUAAUACCGCAUGAUAUUGUACUAUCUCAUGAUAGAACAAUCAAAGGAGAAAUCCGCUGUAAGAUGGGCCCGCGUCUGAUUAGCUAGUUGGUGAGGUAAUGGCUCACCAAGGCGACGAUCAGUAGCCGAUCUGAGAGGAUGAACGGCCACACUGGAACUGAGACACGGUCCAGACUCCUACGGGAGGCAGCAGUGGGGAAUAUUGCACAAUGGGGGAAACCCUGAUGCAGCAACGCCGCGUGGAGGAUGAAGGUCUUCGGAUUGUAAACUCCUUUGAUCGGGGAUGAAUAAAUGACAG